AGAGUUUGAUCCUGGCUCAGGACGAACGCUGGCGGCGUGCUUAACACAUGCAAGUCGAACGGUGAAGUCCCUUCGGGGGCGGAUCAGUGGCGAACGGGUGAGUAACACGUGGGCAAUCUGCCCCUCACUGUGGGAUAACUCCGGGAAACCGGGGCUAAUACCGCAUAUGAAGCCUGGCGGCAUCGCCGGGUUUGGAAAGUUUUUCGGUGAGGGAUGAGCCCGCGGCCUAUCAGCUUGUUGGUGAGGUAAUGGCUCACCAAGGCGACGACGGGUAGCCGGCCUGAGAGGGCGACCGGCCACACUGGGACUGAGACACGGCCCAGACUCCUACGGGAGGCAGCAGUGGGGAAUAUUGGGCAAUGGGCGAAAGCCUGACCCAGCGACGCCGCGUGCGGG
rnacentral:rRNA from 1 species